ensembl:lncRNA
CAGUGACGCCUCUGUUUGGAACCCUGCUUGCAGUUGUAUGGGAAAAGAGAGCAUGGCGAACCACAUACUGGCUUUGAACACUUCUACCUGACAGGAGGAACAAAAUGGCUUCAGUGCAGCUAACCAUAGUGUUAAACAACUAUGUCCCAUUUUGGUACUGAACAUUGUUUGGUAUUUUGCAUUUCAAAAGCCAGAGCAAGUUAUGGCCAAACCUGAAGUCAGUGAGGUGGGGAAGAAAAAUCCUCGCCCAAGGAGGGGCAACAAACACUCGCGAACAGUAACCAGCCUACCACAGACUGGUGUUCGCACGGCGUGAUUUAACCCGUAGCCAGGGCAGCAGUCUGCUGGGCUCAGUGAUUGGUCCAUGUUGGUCCAAUCAGAGUGAAGCAAAGACGGUUGUUUGAUGGUUGGGGGAGGAGUUGACCUUGCUCUUUCGCUCCGAGGGAGCUGCUGCAGCCAUUUUUCUGCCACAAGGUAACAGUGCCAUCUAUGUAUAAAUAGAUGUGCAUGAAGAAAACUGGAAGGGCAUACACAAAACGUGAUACCAGUGGAUGCUUUUGUUCAGGCCUCUCUGCCCUGUGGACCAUAAGCAAAUGCUAAACCUUCGAAGCAGCACCACACAGUUCCUGGGUUAUAAAGGCUUUGUUCCUCAGAUGCUCAGGUCCCCAGAAGGUCAGCUCUCUGGGGCAGGCCAAGCCUGUAGCGUUCACUGGCUUCUCCACAAGCUUAUGAAUAAAGCUGAAACUGUGAACUGUUCAAAAAAGAAAAUAGGUGAUUUGAUUUACAACAAGUUAGUAAAGGAAAACAGUAAGAUUCGGGAACAUCUGCCUUCCAGCAGAAUAUUCUUUGUGUUUCUAAUAAAACCAGGAAGCCAAGUGGAUGGAAGAACUGAUUUGAGAUGUGUGAUGCUGAUCCUUGUGUUAUGUUGGCACAAAUAUGGGCAAUUAGGACACAACUUCACACAACAGUGGGGCAAGAAAGUGAAAUAAGGAAUAGAGGGAUAUCUAGCGAUAAUAGGGUUGAUUAUGUGACAGGCACAUUUAUGGCGAAGCAAAGAGGAAGGGAUUUGGCAUCAAUUAACAGACUUCCUGAGUUCAAACCUGACUCCCUUACUUGCUUAACUUAUCUAAGCGUCAGUUUCCCCAUCUGUGAAAUGAAGAGAGUAAUAUCAUAGGGUCUUUUUGGAGGCACCAAUAAAAUAAAACCUGUAAGACAGCACAGUCCUUGGUGCAUGGUUAGGAGUUAAAGUAAAAUUAAAAAUAAAAAAGUUAACAGUUGUAACUGAUGGCAGAGACACAAAUAUCCCAUUCAUCUAGCGUGUUUAGUUUGCGUCAGUGGUGUCAUGGGAUUGUGUAUAAACGCCCAAUUUUCUCUACCUGCCAUACAUCUCUGACAGGGCCACUCUUAUGAGGAAAAACACCUUUGAGAGAUGUCUCUUGAAUAGGAAUUUGCUUUAGUUAUAUCUUAACAUAAGCAAGAGGCUUUUUUGUUAAAAUAACUUACUUCACUGUUCUGGCCCACUGCCCUGAACAUUCCACUUUGUUUUGUGUGACAGUGGGUUUUAAGUCAGCCAGUGUACAAGGCCCCAGAAUUCUGUUACAUCUGGGUUCAGAAAACUAUUUACUUUCUUCUAUAGUUUUCUGAACUAAUCUUAUUUCUUGGUUGUCACAUCUCAUAACUCACAACUGCUAUGUAUUGAAUUUUGGCCUUUCUCUUUCCCCUUCACCAUAAAGCUACAUCCUUGAAAGACAGGCAGCCCUUUCUUUCUUUUUUUUUCCCCUUAAUUUUUCACUGCAAAACUAAUUCGCAUACUUUGUUGAUUUUUUUUUCAUCCAAAGGCAAAUAACACAGGUGUGUGUGUGUGUGUGUGUGUAUAUGUGUGUGUAUAUAGUUCCCCAACUAAAAAGGGGAAAUCCGCCAUUAACUUCCAUAAUUUCCUCACCUCCAUGCCACUUUACAGAGAUAAUUGAUGUUAACCAUAGGCCUGUGUUCUUCCAAACAGCUUUCCAUGUAUCUACAAACAUUCCUAUCCUAUAUGUUAGGGAGAAAUUUGUUGUUGAUUUGACAAAAAUAAAAUCAUUGUAUACACACUGUUCUGCAGCUUGCUUUUUUUCCUGUUUAACCACGUACCACGGACAUCUUCUCAUAGUGUUGUUGUUCCCAUUUUUUUGUAACGAGUUGUGUUCUGUAAGCAUAACUGUGUAUAGUUAUUAACUUAUCCCUUCAU